UACGUAGGGGGCAAGCGUUGUCCGGAUUUAUUGGGCGUAAAGAGCGUGUAGGCGGCCAGGUAGGUCAGCUGUGAAAACUCGAGGCUCAACCUCGAGACGCCGGUGGAAACCAUCAGGCUAGAGUCCGGAAGAGGAGAGUGGAAUUCCUGGUGUAGCGGUGAAAUGCGCAGAUAUCAGGAAGAACACCCGUGGCUAAGGCGGCUCUCUAGUACGGUACUGACGCUGAGACGCGAAAGCGUGGGGAGCGAACAGG
rnacentral:rRNA from 1 species